rnacentral:rRNA from 1 species
GACGAACGCUGGCGGCGUGCUUAACACAUGCAAGUCGAACGGAAAGGCCCUGCUUUUGUGGGUUGCUCGAGUGGCGAACGGGUGAGUAACACGUGAGUAACCUGCCCUUGUCUUUGGGAUAACUUCAGGAAACUGGGGCUAUUACCGGAUAGGAGCUACUGCUGCAUGGUGGGGGAUGGAAAGUUUCGGCGGUUGGGGAUGGACUCGCGGCUUAUCAGCUUGUUGGUGGGGUAGUGACUUACCAAGGCUUUGACGGGUAGCCGGCCUGAGCGGGUGACCGGCCACAUUGGGACUGAGAUACGGCACAGACUCCUACGGGAGGCAGCAGUGGGGAAUAUUGCACAAGGGGCGGAAGCCUGAUGCAGCAACGCCGCGUGCGGGAUGACGGCCUUCGGGUUGUAAACCGCUUGCGCCUGUGACGAAGCGUGAGUGACGGUAAUGGGUAAAGAAGCACCGGCUAACUACGUG